GUAAGCUUAACCACAUUUGUUUAUUAUUGUAGUUUUAUUACUUUGCAAAAUAUUACUUCAGAGGGCAUUUUAAAAGAGCAAAAUUAGGUCAAACAAAUGCUGUUCUUUUGUGAUGAUAAGUUUACCAGAAAAAUUAACAUAACUGAACAACCCUGUUAUUUUUCCUACACAGGGCAAUGAGUUGACUUAAUAAGGAUCACUAAUCACAGCACUGUAGAAACAGCUGGCAAUAAUGAAUUUAAAUUGAUCUUCAUAAUAAGAAAAGUGGGAAUGUGUUGUGAUAGGCCAGUAUCUUAAUGAAUGCACACACUGCUUGACUUCAAGUACGGCAUUUGAGAAACUCAAAGGAACAGCAUGAUUCGACAAAUGCCUGCUAAUGAAUGCAAGAGUUGUAAAGGGAAAACUUAAGAUUAUAAAAAAUGUAUGGUGAUACAUUGGCUGUUUUACAGCUUGUGCUGUACUAGCAUCUUCACAGCCACAGUCUAAAAGAACUCCACAGUCUAAAAGAACUGUUGGCAUUGCCAUUCUUAGAUCAUCAUACAUUUUUAUUGUGCAAAGCAGAGAGGAAACAGGAUAUCACUCCUUCUGUGAGCGCUGUGCCAUCCAGAAAACAUACCAUAGACUGACAUGUAACUUAUAAAUUGCUUUUUGACCACAUUGAUUGCAAUUACAGAAUAAAGAGUAAUCGUAGCAGGAAGGCUAGAGAAAAUGCUUCUCCACAGGAGCCUAGCAUGCCUGGUUUAUCAAAGAAGAGAAUAAAGAACAUCUGAUUACGGUGCACAUGAACACCUUCAUGGUGAAAAACAGAUAGUCUCCAAGGGCUGCCUAACCUAGAACAGAAACGCGCUGCAAGAAUCAAUGGUAAGACAUUACAGCUAAAAAUAGCAACAAAUUCAGAAAUAAGCAACAAUUUAGCUCUGACACAUUACUGAGACAGAUUAUGAAUAGAAGCAGCACAUUUCUUUUUUUGGUUUUAGAUAAUGUUUUCAUUAAACACAAGCCACCUCCUGUCUAACAUGAGUUGGCACAGAGAAGUUCUGUGGAAUAGACUGCAGCGAUCAGGCAAGUUUUGCCAAGUUUCCUAUGAAAAUAAAACACGUCUUAGUGCUCAACACAGACAUGGGUCUGUCCCACCGCUUCUUGGUAAGUAAUUCUGAAAACCAAUGCCAGUUUUAAGCAACUACAACAGAAAGGUAAGGGGGGGGUCUAGAAUACUAAGUCAUUGAAUGGUUUGUGAAAACAGAAGAGAUCUCACAUUCCCCAUAGAGGAAAUGGCUACAGCAUUGGCCACCCAAAGAAGCCACAAGUGAGGAGGUAAGAUGCACACACAAACACUUUGAAGUAAGGCUUCUUUAGUUUUGCGUAAGAGAAUAUGAUGAAGGCAACAUCAUGCUAUGGCUACUGAUCUAAAAUGCAGCCUGUAUCCUGGUGUCAAUAUGAUGGCCUAUUCUGGCCUUAGAAACUAA
rnacentral:lncRNA from 1 species